ACUACGGGAGGCAGCAGUGAGGAAUAUUGGUCAAUGGGCGGGAGCCUGAACCAGCCAAGUCGCGUGCGGGAAGACGGUCCUAUGGAUUGUAAACCUCUUUAGGCGGGGAGCAACGGGCGCCACGUGUGGCGUCACUGAGAGUACCCGGAGAAACAGCAUCGGCUAACUCCGUGCCAGCAGCCGCGGUAAUACGGAGGAUGCGAGCGUUAUCCGGAUUUAUUGGGUUUAAAGGGUGCGUAGGUGGUUCGUUAAGUCAGUGGUCAAAUUGAGGGGCUCAACCCCUUCCCGCCAUUGACACUAGCGUUCUUGAGUGGAAGAGAAGUAUGCGGAAUGCGUGGUGUAGCGGUGACAUGCAUAGAUAUCACGCAGAACCCCGAUUGCGAAGGCAGCAUGCCGGCUUCCGACUGACGCUGAAGCACGAAAGCGUGGGGAUCGAACAGGAUUAGAUACCCUAGUAGUC
rnacentral:rRNA from 1 species